GACGAACGCUGGCGGCGUGCUUAACACAUGCAAGUCGAACGGACAGGCCCUGCUUUUGUGGGGUGCUCGUGUGGCGAACGGGUGAGUGACACGUGAGUAUCCUGCCCUUGCCUUUCGGAUAACUCCUGGGAACUGGGGCUCUUACCGGAUAGGAGCUCCUGCUCCACAGUGGGGAUUGGAGAGUUUCGGCUGUUGGGGAUGGACUCGCGGCUUACCAGCUUGUUGGUGGAGUAGUUACUUACCCUGGCUUUGCCGGAUAGCCUGCCUGGGAGGGUGACCGGCCACAUUGGGACUAAGGUACGGCCCAGACUCCUACGGGGGGCAGCAGGGGAGAGUAUUGCACAAUAGGCGGAAGUCAGAUGCAGCAACGUCGGGAGCGGAAUGACGGCCUUCGGGUUGUAAACCGCUUUCGCCUGAGACGAAGCGUGAGUGACGGUAAUGAAUAAAAAAGCAACGGCUAACUACGUG
rnacentral:rRNA from 1 species